rnacentral:lncRNA from 1 species
GGAAAUGGAGACGAGUGAUAUUAAUUUGUAGAUAAAGUUAAUAUUACGUAGUCGCAUAAAGCGGCAUAGUACACAACCCACAACUCUGGAAUUUUAACAUCCAUAUUUAUUCUGUAGCUAUCGUUAUUUUGGCUUCCACUAGCUGGUGAACUUUCCAUGCCAAAACUUCACUUGACGCUGCAAAUGAAACAACAAAAAACACAACAUUAAAUGUUGAGCAAGUAAUAAGCAUAAGCAAUGAAACAACUCAUACGAACCUGUUGCAGUCAGUGCUAGGGCUGAUCUUGUAAGGGAUGUUGACACCGCACUUGCCUGGGAGUCCGCUUGCAAUACCAUAGUUGAUGCCAGAAAUGCCGGCGGCCGCACUUUUGAUGCAUUUGCAAGCUGCUUGCCGGUCUGGUGUUGUUUGGGCGGCGGAGUUGAGAGAUUUUAUGCCGCCGCAGCAACCUGGGGGAACGCCACCAGCACCAUUCCCUGUCAAGUAACCAAUGCAGGGUGCGAGGGAGCUUGUGACUUGACCACAGGUUACGGCCCCUUGAGCCAGGGGUGCACCCACCACCAUGCACAACACCGCCACACAUGCAAGCUUAAGGGACAUUGAGCUAGCCAUAUCGAUUAAUCACAAGAAAAACAAACUUGUAAGGAAAAUGCUUGCUUGGAGUAGUAGUACUAUUGCUGAUUGUCGUGGUUAGGGCUUGAGGGUAGGAGGGUUUUUAUAGCCAAAAGUAGUAGCGGGUGAUGUCUGAAUUUUACUUUCCUAGCUAUUAGGUAAGUUGAGAUUAUCCGAUCCAAACAUUAACACACCACAUUAAAAGUUGAGACCAUUCAAUUAGGUUCAACUGCCAACCUACGUGAUUAUUGUUUUCUUUCAAUACAAUUAAAACCAGCGUCCAUUUGAUUUCACUCAAUCAUGCCUCCACAGCUAGGACUCAAAUAUUGGUUUAACUUUUUUCUAGGUGUUUUCUUAUAAACAUGAGAUUUACAUUUGAUGUAUUUAUAACUGCAUUUAUUGUCAGAAUGAUACCAUUUUAUUAAAAGUAAUUUGAUUUAUAAUUGUUUGUAUAUAUACUUUUAUAUAUUAAGUCUUUAAUUGAAUUGGUAUUACGAUUCACCCAAGCAUCUAUUUAAUUGAAAAUUUGUUAAAAUAUUCAUAUAACAAAUAUUAAUAUAAAUGUAUUUUUAUUUUUAUUAUAAAUAAAACUAUAAUAAGAUUUAAACUUAUGACUCAUAAAUUUUACUCUUUUUAACUUAACUAUUUCAACUAAAAUUUUAUUUAGUUUUAAUAUAAAUUUUUAUAAAUAUAUUAUUUACAUGAAUUUUCCUUUUCCAGGCGGUAUGCCAUGGAACUAAUAUAAAAUAUAAACAAAUGGUUAUUUUGUUAUUUUCAAUGGAAAAAAAAAACUUCACAAGAUUAGGACACAUGCAUGGUUUUUUUAAUAUAUAUAUAUAUAUCAUGCAACAUUCUAAAUCUAUUUAUAGAUUAUUUUGUUGAUUGAAUUUUUAUUUUUUUUUAUUUUGGUAAUUAUAUAAAACUAAAUAUUUUCUUCGCGCAAUGUUAAGAGCAGUUUGAAAUUUAAAAGAAGUGUGGAUUCUAAUAAUAAAUUUAGUUAUCUAAUGUUUACAUAUUUUAUUAAUUUGGCCUUAAAUAUAAAAAUUAAAUUCAACAAAAUUAGCCCUCAAUGUUUACAAAAUUUUUCAUUUUAGUUCAAAUUCUAAAAUAAUCCAAUAAAUUUAGCUCUCAACAUUUAUAAAAUGAAAGGAUUUGAUUUUUAAAAUUUUAAUUUUUUUUUUAAAAACCCAAAACACAAACCUAAAUAAACUGAAAAAGAAGAAGGAAUAAUUAUCAUCACCACGACCUAAUCUCUCAACUUUAAAAUAAGACUUCAACUUCGGUUUAACCCCAAGACAAGGCGAAACAUUGAAAGUAAGUGCAGCGGAUGCCAUUGAUUCUCCUACCUUUUGGCUAAACACAUAAAUUUGAACAACUUCAUACAUAACUAGCAGCAGUACUAAAAAAUCAUUAAUACUAUAUUUUCAAGUACAAGAAAUUGAAAAAAGAAUCACGGGUAGAGUACAAAAAUGAAAUUUGGUGUGAACCUAGAUUAACAAAACAAGGUUCACGGUUUCUCAAAAACACAAUACUAUAUUUUUAGAAUUUCUUGUGAAGAUCAAGCAAUGAGACAAAUACUGAAAUUGUGCCUUAAUAGCAAAUAAUAAUUCAAACCAAUGUAGAAAAAAGAUGAAGAAGAAGAAGAUAGGAAAAGAAUUUUUAGUUUACAUUAAAAGCCUUGAAAAGGUAGACCGAUAGGAUUGAUUGUUUUGAAUAUUACUCAACUUUCUCAUUAAUUCUUGUACUAUUAUGGCUAAGUGUGUUUUUAGAUGGUAAUGAAUUUUUUUAAUUGUUAAUAAUUUUUACAAUUAUUACACUUGAUUUGGCAGUUGUUUUUCUUUUUAAUUUACAAAAUUUUAAAAAAUUAAAAAUUUCUAUUUUGUAAAUGCUAAGAGCUAAAUUUAUUAUUAUUUAUUUUAGAAUCUAAACUAAAGUGACAAAUUUUGUAAAUAUUUGGUGUUAAAUUUAUUGGAUUUUUAUAUUUAAAAUCAAAUUGAUAGAAUGUGUAAAGAAAGUUAAUUUUUUUAUUAGACAAAUAAAAAAUAACCCAUUUCAACACUUCCGAAAAAUUUUCAAACGGCCGUUAACAUUUAGUGACGAAAAUAUUUGAUUUCAUAUAAUUUAAUAAUUAAAAUAAAAAUAAUUAAAAAUUUAGUAAUCAAAGUAAAACACAAGUGAUAUUAUUCUAGUGAUCAUUUCUGUACUUGACCCUAAUUUUUUUUUCAAAACACUGUUAAAAAACGAUUAAUUUCUCGUUUUGGCCGGAGUUAAAAUUUUUAAUAUAUUUGUUUUUAUUAAAUUUAAAAAUUAUAAUUUUACAUAAUAUAUUUUUGAUAGAAUACAUAUGAUAUAAUUUUAAUCAGUGACACCUGUUAAAGCUUGUUAGAUCUCCUGUAUCUCUUUCAAUCUGGUGGUAAAUGAAGCAAUCAAUGAGUAUUACAACCAGCCACAUGUCAUUCAAUUCACAUUAUAUCAAUCUUUUCCCUUUUCUCUCAUUUUGGUAGUUAAUUCCUUUUUUUGUCAUCGAAAUUAUAUUUUUUUCUCAAAUUGAUAAUUUCCUUAAUCCGUUAAGUUUGUUAAAAGAAACCUUAAUCUUAUUUAAAUUAUAUCUUUUUUUAUUUAUUUUGAUACUUAAACAUUUUUGUCACAUGUGGUAUGUAAUUUAUUUUUUCUUAAGUUGUUAGUUUAAUUAUUACUCAAAUAGUUAAGUCUAUUUAAAAAAAGAUAACUAUUUAAAAAUUACCAUAUUCGAACUAGCUAGGCCAUUAGUUCCUGGUUUAAUCAGUUUAUCUAGUUUGAUGAAAUCAAUUAUUAAAAAUUCAUAAAAAUAAAAAUGUUAAAAAAUAGAGAAAACUAGCUCAACUAGUUUUUUUUUUAAGCUCGACUCAAUCAAUCUGUAUUAGUUUGUAGGUUAAUCGGUUCAAGCCCUAUCUCCAAACUAGUAUCCCAGUUGGUUCCUAGUAUUAAGGGUGAGCAAAAUUUGAAUCGACUCGAAAAAAUUUAAAAAAGUUCGAAUUUUGAAUUAUUCGAAUCGAGUUAAUCGAAUCAACUCGAUUUUUUUUUAAUUUCAAGUUCGAGUCGAGUUGAGUUUUUGAAUUCAAAUAACUCGAAUAAUUCGAUUAAGCCGAAUACCAAACUAUAAUAUUUUACAUUUUACCUCAAACCCCAAACCCUUUUACUUUUCCCCCAAAACUUUACUCAUUCCUCCUUGUCUGCCCCUGUAACGCCCCAAAUUUUGAAUUGUUACUGUUAGUUUCUAUUUAUAAGUAAGUAUUUGCUUCAGUGGUUAAGUGUUAUGUGUUGGUGUUUGGAUCGGGGGUUCAAGUUAUACUUUUAGAGAAUUUUAUUAUUCUUUUGUUUCAACUCUUAUCCUUGAAUGUUUGAAUUAAGUUUGUAUCUGCAUUAAUUUGUGUCAAGAACGAGUCUUCUAGUUUAAUGGUUAAGUUUUGUAUUACCUAUGGUCUCGUGUUCGAGUCUCUGCGUAGGCAAUAAAGAAAUAUUUUGGCGUGCUAUCGGGAAAUCAGUUUUAUUUUAAUAAUUAUUUUUAUUUAAAACUUAUUUUUAGUUUUUUUUAUUUUGGUUCUUCUCCUUCCUUACUGUUCAUUUCCUUCUUCUUUUUUCUCCUUUUGUAACACCCCUAACUCGAAUCCGUCGCUGGAACAGGGUUAGGAGUAUUAUCGAAGUUUACAAUUUAAACAGGCAGAAAAAUUAAACAUUUCAUAACAUAUAGCAUUCAUGUUAGAAACCAAUCAUAAUUAUGCAUAUUGUCCCUAAUACGAGCCCUCGAGGCCCAAAAUACACCUUAGAAAUAAUUCGGGACUAAAUUGAAAAUUCGGAGCAUUUUUUAGAAACUUAUAAAAUUUUUAAAACUACAGGGGUCACAUGGCCGUGUGGCUAGGCUGUGUGACUCAUAUGGCCAACAGACACGCCCAUGUCUUAGACCGUGCGGGUAUUCGAAAUAGGGACACACGGUCGUGUCCCAGCCUGUGUCCAUGCCCGUGUAACUCACUAACUUGGGCCACACGGUCAAGCCAUACGCCCGUGUGCCAGGCAUUGUGAGCAUACUAACUUGCAUUCUUUAAAAGAUACAGGGGACACACGGCCAUGUCACCUGACCGUGUGUGACACACGCCCGUGUCUCUGCCCGUGUGGACAAAAAUAGGCUAUUUUUCAAGUCAUAAAUAUUCAUGUAUUCUUUAAAAGAUACAGGGGACACACGCCCGUGUCUCUGCCCGUGUCUCUGCCCAAUUUGGUACCAACCUAAACACAACAAUUUGCAUAUAACCAAGUCAUAAAUAGGCACCCAAAACCAGCCAAAAUCAAGCUUAAAACAUGUAAUAUCAUCACAUACAACCAAUAUGCCCUUAGGCACCUCAAAUGACAACUUAUAAUAUUAAUAUUCAUGUAUUCAAUAUAGCCAAAUGUAUAACUCACUUAUAUGCAUAUUUUCAUCCAAAGUUUAUUAAGCAAAUUUACAUCAUUUCUUACCAAAUUACUUACCUUCCAAAACAUAUUAUUUGGUGCUAAAAUGUAUUUAACAUACUAACAUAUUUAACUUAUAUGCCUUACAUAUCCAGACACCAAUUCAUGAUCAAUUCUUCACAUUUCAAAACACAUAUAUGAAAUGCACAUUAGGUUACCUUUUUACCACUAUUUAUUCAAUCAUGAACCAAACUACAUGUCAACCAUAAUAAGCAAAAUAUGCACAUAUCCAAAAUUCCAUAACACAAACAAAACAAAUGGCUAAUCUCAACAAAACACAUAUAAGCCAACAUUGGCCAAACUAAUCUAUACAUGCCAUUAUAACCGAAAUUAAACAACCGAAUGUACCAAAAGAGCCAAUGGAUAGUGUGAUAUAGCUCCGACAAGCUUCCAACCAGAACGAGCUUUCGAAUCACUAAAAACACAGAAAAUAACACAGAGUAAGCAUUCAAGCUUAGUAAGUUCAUAUAGCAUAUAAUUUAACUUACCAUUUAGUCACAUUUAAGGUAAGCAUACAAAACAUAUCCAAACUCAAUUAGGAUAAAAGCCUCAACACAUAUCCUCAUCAACCAUGUUAGUCAUGUAAUUCAUAUAAAUAUCAAGAAACAUGUAUGAGCUCAACAAUAAUCAAACUUCUAUGUACAUAUAAUUUCCACAUCAUGUAUUUACAUAUCAUGUACAAAUCAUUUUCAUAUAUCUCAUGUAAAUACAUGUAGUAGUUUGUAUUGAACUCGUGUAAUAUCAUAACAGAACAGUGCCCGUUGAACCAUUUAGAUUAUUUUUGGAUACGCGGAUAGUACACAUGAGGUGUACUGAACUGUAAUUCAUCAAUUCAUGUACAUGUAUGCUCAUAUGAGCUAUAAACAGUAAGCUCCUCUGAAAUGAAUAACAAUAAGCUUGUACAAGCUGAAUAUCGGUAAGCUCAUAUGAGCUGAGUAUCGGUAAGCUCAUAAGAGCUGAAAUCGAUAACCCUAAUGACAUGUUUACCAAGCCAUGACAUUCCACUAACACAUUUAACCUUUAAAAUUAUUUCAAUUUACAAGUUUAAGAAAGAACAUAAAAGAUGAUACUUGGCUUUAUUUUACUAAAUUUUGUUAUUUACUUAAUUACUUAUUUAACCUUUAAAAUCAUUUCAAUUUACAAGUUUACUAAGCCAUGACAUUCCACUAACACAUUUAAGGGUUAUUUACCAUAUAAGGACCUCUACUUUAAAUUUUUAUAGCUAUUUAAUACCUUUAGCUAUUAGAACUUUACUUUUACACUUUACGCGAUUUAGUCAUUUUUAUCAAAUUGAACAUGUAAACGGUAAAAUUUCUUAACGAAAUUUUCAUAUGGUAAUAUUAUCAUGUUUUCGACCAUAAAAUAAUAAUAAAAUAAAAUUUUUUACUUCAUAUUUGUGGUCCCAAAACUACUAUUCUGAUUUCACUGAAAAUGGGUUGUUACACCUUUCUUGCUUGAUUGCUUCCGUAAGUUUGCUAUCGUGCUUAAUUGGGCAUUCUGUGUGGUUUCUUACAUUGAUUGCAAGGAUAUUGCGUAAGUUAUGUUCUUGUUUUUUACCUAUUUUUUCUAGACUUCGUCUGUUUCGUCGAGGUUAGAUAUUACUGUUAAUGGUUGUAAAAUCUCGUUAAUAGUUCCAAUGGAUCUUCUUUUAGGAAAAGGUUUCAAAAGUAACAUUUCCCUGUGAGAUUAGGUCCGAAUUGUUGUUGCUUGCUUGUCAGUAAUUGAAAAUUUCUAUUUUGGAUAGCUGCGUCGAAGUUUUCGACGAACGUUAGUUUUGAGUGCUAAUUUUGGCAUUUUGAGUUGAUUUAGUCAUUUAAUUGGUCAAUUAAUUGUCGUUUUAGGUUUCAGAUUCUUGUGUGUUGCUUCUACAUCGAAACUACAUCAAGUGUGUAACGAAAACUCAUUUUUCUAUGAUUUACGAAUGCUAGAAAACAUGGCUGUUAAUCACACGACCGUGUGUUAGGCCAUGUAACUUACUGUUUAUGUAUUAAAGUCACCGAGCCAAGGACGUGGGCAUGUGUCCUAGUCGUGUAACUUACUAUUUGUGGAUUGGAGUCACACAGGCUAGGGACACGUUUGUGUGUCCAGACUGUGUGAAGGAAAUUUUAUGAAUUGAGUCACACAAGCGUGUGCUUGACUAUGUCAUAGACCGUGUAACUCACUUUUUUGAGCCACACGAUCGUGUGCCAGGCCGUGUGAUAGAUCGUGUGCUACACGGGCCAGCCUUCCGGGACAUGUGAAUCCACACAAGUGUGUGGGUCAAAAUUUCAAAUUUUUUAUUAGGGCCGUAAACAUCAUUCCAGUCAAACGUAGGCCUACUGUAGGGUCUGGAUGAUCUGAUUUGGGUUAUAAAACCCAUUGACUAGUUAUCUGUUUCUGUAUAAACUGUUAUUUUAUAUACAUCAUAGAAUUGUAAACUAGAGAGUAGUUGUAUUCUGUAUUAAUUGAGUAUAACCUGAAAUUUGUAACAUCGUAUGCUUAUAUCUGUAUCUGUAACAUUGCAUCUGCAUUGGGGUUGGGAUUGAAUAAGGAGGAAGUUAUGGCAGUUAAAUAAUCUGCUAAGACCGGUGGCUAAGACACGUAAAUGUAUCUAAUUUUGGUGACUUUCGCAUUCUGUCCUAGCAAUUAGUCUGCAACCUUUUGAACGUGACAUAUGGUCACUAUGUGGUGUGUAGGGACGAUACCCUUUUUGGUGUGUAGGGUUGGAUGAAGAUGGUGUGUAAUUGACAUAUUCUACUCUAUUUCCGUAUAUAAUUCUGAGAACUGUUCGAACUUUAAGAAAUUGAAGAUCUAUUUUGUUGUUUCACUUAAUAAUAAUAUAAGUUAUACGCUAUGUAUAACACCCUUUACCCGAGACCGUGGUCGGAGUCGAGCAUGAGGUGUUACUUGACUUAAAUUAAAAGUUCAGGGCAUAAAAAUUUACUUUCAAAAUUAAUUUCACCAUUCACAAUAAAGUUGUCCACCUGAGCAGCAGUCACUAAAUUAAUUAUAACUCAAGCUAAGAAACUCGAAAUUUAGAUUCGUAAAUUUUCCCUGAAACUAGACUCAUAUAUCUAUUCACAAAAUUUUUUUAGAAUUUUUGAUUUGACCAAUUAGUACAGUUUAUUAGUUGAAGUCUCCCCAGUUUCACUAAUCGACUAUCCUGACCUCUCGUCACUAAAAUUCAAUUAUCUCAUUAUACACACUUGGCAUGCUGAUUCCACUUAUUUAUACUUAAAAUAUACUCAUUAAGGAAUUUAAAAAUAUAAUUUAUAACUCAUAAUUCUAUUUGUACAAUUUUUAAUGAAUUUCUAAAGUCAGAACAGGGGACUUCAGAAUCAUUCUGACUCUGUCUCACUAAAAUUAAAAUAUCUAAAAGUAUAUAACUCUUUUACUUACUCUAUUGCUUUCAUGUGAAAGUAGACUCAUUCAGAUUUAAUUUCAUCUCUCGCUAAACUUAUAAUUCUAUUUCUACAAUUUUUGGUGAUUUUUCAAAGUUACAUCAAUGCUGCUGCCCAAAAAUAGUUCCAUUGAAAUUUUUUUAAAAAAAUUCAAUAUAACCCCUUUAUAAUUAUCUAACCUUCCCUGCAAAUUUCAAAUCACAACCAAUUUCAGUAUUUCAACUACUUCACUUAAAUACUAAUGAAGUUCAACUAAUCAACCAUUUCAAACUAAAAACAUGUAUAGUUCAAUGUUUAACACAACCAUCACAUUCAAAUUUAUUCAUUCUAUUACUUUUUACUUCAAUUCCCUAUACAUGUCAUAUAAAUCCAAAAAGUUGUUUAACAAAAUCUACAGGAGUAAAUCUGGAUAGUGUGAUUCUUGGUGUAGAUCUGAUCCUCCGAAUGUAUAAAUACGUCAACCUACAAGAAUCAAUAAACACACAAUUAAGCGUAUAGAAAGCUUAGUAAGUUCAUAGGCACCAAACAUAAAUCUUACCAAACAUUUAUACACUUAUACAUUAUACACCAUUACUAAGUUUACCUGUCAACCACAAUCUUUGGUGAGCUCCUUAGUAUAAACUCACUACUACUUAUUCUUUUACCAUAAUUCCUUUGGGCCCAUUUGUCACUUACCAUCCUUGAUCAAAAUUAAGGAACGGUUACGGAAAAUUGAGUACUUCACUUUCACUUUGCCAUAGUAUAACUAUGGUCUUACGUAUGAUCAAGCAUCACUUGUCCUUGAUAAGAUAAGUGUAGCUAGGCAACCACUUAUCACUUUGUCACUUGAUCAGAUAAGUGUAGCUAAAGCUACCACUUAUCAUUUUAUCACCACUUAUCACUUGUUCUUGAUUAGAUAAGUGUAGCUAAAGUUACCACUUAUCACUUUGUCACCACUUAUCACUUGUUCCUAAUCAGAUAAGUGUAGCUAAAACUACCACUUAUCACUUUGUCACUUGAUCAGAUAAGUGUAGCUAAGCUAUCACUUAUCACUUUGUCACUUGAUCAGAAGUACUCAAAUCCGGUGUUCUACUCAAUUUGAUCAUUUAUUCAGUUUUCACAUUUUUAUUUUAUUCUCAUUUCAUCAAUAAAUAUAUAUAUUUCAUCAUACAUUAUAUAAUUCAUGAAAUUAACAUUUAAUCAUUAAAUUUUAGCCAUAUGAACUUACCUGGGUUGAUUUGCUGAAUUUGUAAAAGUUUAGGGACUAAUCAGCUACUUUUUCUUUUCCUCGACUUGUUUCGGGUUCUCAAUAUGAUUCAAAUAUAUGAAAAACCAACUUGGAGGGACUCUUCAAUGGUGUUUUUUGCUAAAAAAUAUGAGGAAUUGCCUAGAAACACUUUUAGUUAAGAUUUUUAUUUGUUAAUUUUUACAAAAUUUCCAAUUUUGCCCUUAUUACAUCACUUUUUCAAAUUUUUCUUCUCUUAUGUCGUCUCAACUAUUCCAUAUUGGCAUAUUUAUGCCUUAAGUCCCUCCUUAUUUACCACUUAAGCUAUUUAAUCACUUUUAACAAAUUUUACAUUAUUUUCAGUUUAAUCCUUUUUAAUUAAUUAACCACCCAAACGUUAGAAUUUUCUAACGAAAAUUUAAUACCAACUCAAUGACACUCCAUAAAUGUUUCUAAAAAUAUUUAUGGCUCGAUUUAUGAGGUUGAGGUUUCAAUACCUCAUUUUCGAUUCUAAUUAUUUUAAUAUUUAUUCUUAGUACACUAUUCACUAUUUCAAAAAUUUUCCUAACUUCGCAUUUAACUUAUACUCACUAAAUUAAUAAUAUUUUCUACUCAUUUGUCAAAUUUAAUGAUCUCGAAUUACCAUUCCGACACCACUGAAAAUUCAGGCCAUUACAACUCUCCCCCCAUUUUGGAAAUUUCAUCCCCGAAAUUUCGUACCUGAAAAUAAAUUCGGAUACUGAAAUCUCAGCAAUUCCUCUGUUUCCCAGGUUGCCUCCUCUUUAACCUUAACUAGUGGUACAUGUUUAUUCCUCAACUCUUUAACCUUCUGAGCUAAAAUUUUCACCGGUUCCUCUGAAUAAGUCAUGUCAGGUUGAAGCUCUAUUUCCGUAUGAGGAAUUACAUGUGAUGGAUCUGAUCUGUACCGUCUCAACAUAGACACAUGAAACACAUUAUGAAUCUUUUCAAGUUCCGGGGGCAAAGCUAAUCUAUAGGUUACCGGACCGAUUCUUUCAAUGAUUUCAUACGGCCCAAUAAAUCGUGGGCUGAGUUUCCCCUUUUUGCUGAACCGCAAAACUUUCUUCCACGUGACACUUUCAAAAAUACACGAUCACCCACAUUAAACUCUAUAUCCCUUCUCUUCAAAUUUGCAUAUGAUUUUUGCCGAUCGGAGGUAGCUUUUAAACAAUCUCGAAUAAUACGAACUUUUUCUUCAGUUUCCUGAGUCAAUUCCACUCCCACCAGUUUCGAUUCACUUAAUUCAGACCAAUAUAAUGGAGUUCUACACUUUCUUCCAUACAAAGCUUCAAACGGUGCCAUUUUAAUGCUAGUUUGAUAACUAUUAUUAUAAGCAAAUUCGGCUAAAGGUAAAUACCUUUCCCAGCUACCGCCGAACUCAAGUAUACAACACCUUAACAUAUCUUCUAAAAUCUGAAUCACUCGCUCUGACUGCCCAUCUGUCUAGGGAUGAAAAGCUGUGUUGAAAUUUAAUUUGGUGCCUAAAGCUUCCUGUAAUUUACUCUAAAAUCUCGAGGUAAAUCUCGGAUCUCGAUAUGAAAUAAUAGAUGUCGGUACCCCAUGUAACCUCACUAUCUCAGACACAUAUAACUCCGCUAACUUUUCAAGCUGAUAAUCUGCUCUGACUGGAAUAAAAUGUGCUGACUUAGUUAACCGAUCAACAAUCACCCAUAUUGAAUGUUUCUUCUUCAGAGUUAUUAGUAAUCCAGAUACAAAAUCCAUUGUAACAUGUUCCCAUUUCCAAUCUGGAAUCAUAAUGGGCUGUAACAACCCUGUCGGCACUUGAUGCUCAGCUUUCACCUGUUGACAGAUCAAACAUCUUGCUACAUACUCAAAGAUUUCCCGUUUCAUUCCGGGCCACCAAUACAUUUUCUUCAAAUCACAAUACAUUUUUGUACUACCCGGGUAAAUAGAACACAUACUACUGUGAGCCUCUGAUAAAAUAUCAUUUUUCAAGUUUAAAUUAUUCGGAAUACAUAUUCUAUUACGAUAAUAUAACAUACCAUUUUCAUCAAUGGAGUAUUCUGAGCUUAACUUAUCUUGAACCAUCUGUCGUUUUAUCAUCAAUUUUGGGUCAUCAUCCUAUAACUCCCGAAUCCGUUGAAAAAACACGGGUUUAGCCUUUAAUUCUGCUAGUACAGAACCAUCCUCAUUAAUAGAUAAAUGAGCAUUCAAUGCCCGUAGUGCAAAUAAUGAUGAUUUCCGACUAAGCGCAUCUGCUGCGGUAUUUGCUUUCCCUCGGUGAUAGUCAAUGACAAGAUCAUAAUCUUUCAGCAACCCCAACCAUCGUCUCUGUGUCAAAUUUAACUCUUUCUGAGUCAUUAAAUACUUCAAGCUUUUAUGAUCAGUAUACACGUAACAUUUCUCACCAUAUAAGUACUCUUCAUAUCUUCAAAGCAAACACGAUCGCUGCCAAUUCCAAAUCAUGUGUAGGAUAAUUCUUCUCGUGCGGUUUCAGUUGCCGAGAAGCAUAUGCCACCACUUUGCCUGACUGAAUAAGUACACAGCCCAACCCAUUUACAGACGCAUCACUAUAUACUACAAACGGUACACCCGAUUCUGGUUGAGUCAACACUGGAGCCUCUGUCAACAUCUUUUUCAACUAAUCGAAACUCCGCUGACAUUCAUCUAACCAUAUAAAUUCAACAUUCUUUUGUAGCAAUCGAGUCAACGGUAAGGUAAUCAUUGAGAAAUCUUUGACAAAUCGACGAUAAUAACCUGCCAAUCGUAGAAAACUCUGCACUUCAGUCACAUUCUUCGGAACUUUCCAAUUUAUCACUGCUGCUACCUUACUUGGAUCCACUCUUAUUCCAUCAGCUGAUACAAUAUGACCCAAAAACGCAACUUCAUGGAGCCAAAAUUCACAUUUGCUAAAUUUGGCAUACAAUUGUUUCUCCCACAAAGUCUGUAAUACAAUCCUUAGAUGUUGUGCAUGUUCGGACUCUGUCUUUGAAUAAAUCAAUAUAUCGUCAAUGAACACAACCACAAAUCUAUCCAAAUAUGACUGAAAAAUUCUAUUCAUCAAAUCCAUAAAAGCAGCAGGGGCAUUGGUUAAACCAAAUGGCAUCACCAAAAAUUCAAAAUGACCAUAUUGAGUUCGAAAGGCAGUUUUCGGCACUUCACACUCUUUAACUUUCAACUGAUAAUACUCGGAUCGAAGAUCUAUCAUGGAAAAUACUGCAGCACCUUUCAACUGAUCAAACAAAUCAUCAAUAUGAGGCAAAGGAUUUUUAUUCUUUACUGUUACCUUAUUCAACUGUCUGUAAUCUAUACACAGUCUUAAAAAACCAUCCUUCAUUUUCACAAACAAGACAGGUGCACCCCAGGGCGACAUACUCGGUCUGAUGAACCCUUUAUCUAAUAACUCCUGCAGCUGCGCCUUCCGUUCUUUUAACUCGACUGGAGCCAUUCUGUACGGUGUCAUUGAGAUAGGAGUUGUUCCGGGGAUCACAUCAAUUACAAAUUCAACUUCUCUAUCAGGUGGUAGACCGGGUAACUCUUCAGGGAAUUCAUUCACCAUUGGCACUUGUUCGAGCUUCAAAUCAGAACCCUGAGUAUCCAGGAUAUAGGCCAAGAAUGCUUCGUUGCCUUUGCGUAAUAACCUCUGAGCAGAGAGAGCUAAAAUAAUUCUGACUGUAUCACCCAGCUUUUCAGACCCAACUGAGAUUAUAUCUCCCGUUUGACAUUUCAAACUGAUCUGUUUAUCACGACAAUUCACUACCACAUCAUGUCUCAUUAACCAGUCCAUCCCCAGAAUAAUGUCAAAUUCCCGAAAAGGUAACAACAUCAAAUCAGCGAGGAAUUCAUAGCCUUUCACUUUCAGUGGACAAUUACGACAUAUCAAAUUAACCAUCACACUUUGACCUAAUGGGUUUGUGACUUGUAUAUCAAAUUCAGUGGACUCAACAGAUAAUUUCUUUUUAGAUGCUAACAUAGUGCAAAUAUAUGAAUGAGUAGAUCCAGGGUCUAUCAAUGCAUAAACAAUAACAUCAUAAAGAUAGAAAGUACCAGCAAUUACAUCAGGAGCCGUAGCCUCUUUCCUUGCUCGAAUGGCGUAGGUACGUGCUGGUGCUCUAUUCUCUGAUCGACCAACUGAUUCCCUCGUACCCGAACGGGUAGUCCCUGUAGCACUGCUCUGGCCCGAACGUCUACUUUUUUGGGGAAUGGUUCUCUGUAUUUCUUUCUGUUCCACUUCAUCUUUUUAUAGUCGGGGACAAUCUCGAAUAAGAUGAUUAGUACCCCCACAUUUUUAACAAGCCCCCAUCUUGGUCCUGCAUUCUCUGAAAUGAUAUCUUCCACAAUAUUGACACUUAGGCCGGGGAACAUUCUGAACACUGCUCACACUUGCUGGAGGUCUAUCGAAUACCCUGAAAUCAGAUUGUCUUGGUCUAUCUCUACCCGAUCUUCUCGACAUUGAUGUAGUUCGACUAAUUUCUUCUCUAGAUUUGUUCACUGGUAAAUCUAAAAAUGACUUAGAAGCACCUCUUUUGAAUGGCUCUUUACUUUUUCGAUCCCGCUACAUUUUUCUGUUGUAUACUUCUUCGAGCUUUUGAGCACGGUUUGACAGAACAGGGAACUCUCGUAUUUCAUUACCCCCAAUCAUCAUUCUAAUUUCAUCAUUUAACCCUUCUUCAAACCUGAUACACAUUUCUUCUUUAAUAAGUACAAUGUCUCGGGCAUAUUUGCUGAGGUAGACAAAUUCUCUUUCGUAUUCAGCCACUGAUUUAUCUCCCUGGCGUAGGUCGAGAAAUUCCCUUUUAUUUUUAUCCAAAUACCGUCUGCCCACAUAUUUCUUCUUAAAUUCAUUUUGGAAAAAUUCCCAAUAAAUUUUCUCUGUCGGAACCACAUCCUCAAUCGUCUCCCACCAACUAUAAGCUUCUUCUUUCAAUAGAGACACAACACAUCUCAAAUAAUCAUCUGGUGAGCAAGCCAUUUCUUUAAAAAUUCUUAUUAAACUCUGUAACCAAUAUUCAGCUUUGACGGGAUCUUUAUCAGUCCUUCCCCGAAAUUCUUCGGCUCUAAGUUUUUUAAGCCUUUCCAAUGGAGAACGCUUUCUGGAUUCAGUCGUUGUAAAAGGUGGAGGAGCAACCGGGUGUACCACCGAUGGAGCAGUAGGGGGAGGAGGUGGUUCAGCCUGAUUUCUUUCUUGCCUCAUUUCAGUAUAUCAUUGAUUCAUAAUCCCAUAAAUCAUAUUCUUUAACUCUUGCUCUCGCAUUUGGGAGAUCGGAACAUCACUGCUUGUUCUUUGUUUAGAAUUAUGUAUUCUACUAUUAACUUCUUCUUUCUCAGUACGUUUAGGUAUAUCUAACAUCUCCAUAACCGGAGAAUAUCUACUAUUAACUUCUUCUUACUGGAUUCAGUCGUUGUAAGAGGUGGAGAAGCAACCGGGGGUACCACCGAUGGAGCAGUAGGCAGAGGAGGUGGUUCAGCCUGAUUUCUUUCUUGCCUCAUUUCAGUAUACCACUGAUUCAUAAUCCCAUAAAUCAUAUUCUUUAACUCUUGCUCCCGUAUUUGGGAGAUCAGAACACCACUGCUUGUUCUUUGUUCAGAAUUAUGUAUUCUACUAUUAACUUCUUCUUGCUCAGUACGUUCAAGUAUAUCUGACAUCUCUAUAACCGGAGAAUAUCUAUAAAAAUAACAAAGAUUAGAUCGCAUCAUACGCAUUACACUAUCACAGAUUUAUAUGGCAUGUAUUUCUAAACACUUUACACUUCACACAUAUUCCGAGAACCGGCUAAACCUGGAUCUGAUACCAAUAAAAUGUAACACCCUUUACCCGAGACCGUUUCCAGAGUCGAGCAUGAGGCGUUACUUGACUUAACUUAAAAGUUCAGGGCAUAAAAAAUUACUUUCAAAAUUAAUUUCACCAUUCACAAUAAAGUUGUCCACCCACGCAGCAAUCUCUAAAUUAAUUAUAACUCAAGAUGCGAAACUCGAAAUUUAGAUCUGUAUAUUUUACCUAAAACUAGACUCAUAUAUCUAUUCACUACAAAAUUUUCAGACUUUUUGGUUUGGCAAAUUAGUACAGUUUAUUAAUUGAAGUCUCCCCUGUUUCACUAAUAGACUAUCCUGACCUCUCGUCACUAAAAUUCAAUUAUCUCAUUAUACAAACUUGACUUGGUGUUUUCAAUUAUUUUUACUUAAAACAGACUCAUUAAGGAAUUUAAACAUAUAAUUUAUAACUCAUAAUUCAUUUUGUACAAUUUUUAAUGAAUUUCUAAAGUCAAAACAGGGGACUUCAAAAUCAUUCUGACUCUGUCUCACUAAAAUUCAAAUAUCUAAAAGUAUAUAACUCUUUUGCUUACUCUAUUGCUUUAAUGUGAAAGUAGGCUCAUUCAGCUUUAAUUUCAUCUCUCACUCAACUUAUAAUUCUAAGUCCACAUUUUUGGUGAUUUUUCAAUGUUACAUCAAUACUGCUGUCCAAAAACUGUUCCAUUGAAAUUUUUUUAAAAAAUUUCAAUAUAACCCUUUUAUAAUUAUCUAACCUUCCCUGCAAAUUUUAAAUCACAACCAAUUUCAGUAUUUCAACCACUUCACUUAAAUACUAAUGAAGUUCAACCAAUCAACCAUUUCAAACUAAAAACAUGCAUAGUUCAAUGUCUAACACAACCAUCACAUUCAAAUUUACUUUGCAUAUUUAGGUAUUCAUUCUUUUACUUUUUACUUCAAUUCCCUAUACAUGCCAUAUAAAUCCAAAAACUUGUUUAACAAAAUCUACCGGAGUAAAUCUUGAUAGUGUGAUUCUUGGUGUAGAUCCGAUCCUCUGAAUGUAUAAAUACGUCAAUCUACAAGAAUCAAUAAACGCACAAGUAGGCUUAAUAAACACACAAGUAAGCUUAUAGAAAGCUUAGUAAGUUCAUAGGCACCAAACAUAAAACUUACCAAACAUUUAUACACUUAUACAUUAUACACCAUUACUAAGUUUACCUGUCAACCACAUUCUUUGGUGAGUUCCUUGGUAUAAACUCACUAAUACUUAUUCUUUUACCAUAAUUCCUUUGGGCCCAUUUGUCACUUACCAUCCUUGAUCAAAAUUAAGGAACGGUUACGGAAAAUUGAGUACUUCACUUUCACUUUGCCAUAGUAUAACUAUGGUCUUACGUAUGAUCACUUAUCACUUGUCCUUGAUCAGGUUAGUGUAGCUAGGCUACCACUUAUCACUUGUUCCUGAUCAGAUAAGUGUAGCUAAGCUAUCACUUGUCACUUUGUCACUUGAUCAGAAGUACUCAAAUCCGGUGUUCCGCUCAAUUUGAUCAUUUAUUCAGUUUGCGCAUUUUUAUUUUAUUCUCAUUUCAUCAAUAAUAUAUAUAUAUAUAUAUAUAUAUAUAUAUAUAUAUUUCACCAUACAUUAUAUAAUUCAUGAAAUUAACAUUUAAUCAUUAAAUUUCAUCCAUAUGAACUUACCUAGGUCGAUUUUCUGAAUUUGUAAAAGUUCAAGGACUAAUCAGCUACUUUUUCUUUUCCUCGACUUGUUUCGGGUUCUCGAUAUGAUUCAAAUAUAUGAAAAACCAGCUUGGAGGGACUCUUCAAUGGCGUUUUUUGCUGAGAAAUAUGAUGAAUUGCCUAGAAACUCUUUUAGUUAAGAUUUUUAUUUGUUAACUUUUACAAAAUUUCUAAUUUUGCCCUUAUUACAUCACUUUUUCAGAUUUUUCUUCUCUUAUGCUGUCUCAACUAUUCCAUAUUAGCAUAUUUAUGCCUUAAGUCCCUCCUUAUUUACCACUUAAGCUGUUUAAUCACUUUUAACAAAUUUUACAUUAUUUUCAGUUUAGUCCUUUUUAAUUAAUUAACCACCCAAACGUUAGAAUUUUCUAACGAAACUUUAAUACCAAUUCAAUGACACUCUAUAAAUGUUUCUAAAAAUAUUUAUGGCUCGAUUGAUGAGUUUGAGGUUUCGAUACCUCAUUUUCGAUUCUAAUUAUUUUAAUAUUUAUUCUUAGUACACUAUUCACUAUUUCAAAAAUUUUCCUAACUUCGCAUUUAACUUAUACUUACUAAAUUAAUAAUAUUUUCUACUCAUUUGUCAAAUUUAAUGAUCUCGAAUUACCAUUCCGACACCACUGAAAAUUCAGGCCAUUACAACUCUCCCCCCAUUUUGGAAAUUUCGUCCCCGAAAUUUCGUACCUGAAAAUAAAUUCGAAUACUGAAAUCUCAUCAAUUCCUCUGUUUCCCAGGUUGCCUCCUCAGAUCCAUGUCGAUUCCAUAACACCUUAACUAGUGGUACAUGUUUAUUCCCUAACUCUUUAACAUCCCAAGCUAAAAUUUUCACCGGUUCCUCUGAAUAAGUCAUGUCAGGUUGAAGCUCUAUUUCCGUAUGAGGAAUUACAUGUGAUGGAUCUGAUUUGUACCGUCUCAACAUAGACACAUGAAACACAUUAUGAAUCUUUGCAAGUUCCGGGGGCAAAGCUAAUCUAUAUGUUACCGGACCGAUUCUUUCAAUGAUUUCAUACGGCCCGAUAAAUCGUGGGCUGAGUUUUCCUUUUUUGCUGAACCGCAAAACUUUCUUCCACGGUGACACUUUCAAAAAUACACGAUCACCCACAUUAUACUCUCUAUCCCUUCUCUUCAAAUCUGCAUAUGAUUUUUGCUGAUCGGAGGCAGCUUUUAAGCAAUCUCGAAUAAUACGAACUUUUUCUUCAGUUUCCUGAGUCAAUUCCACUUCCACCAGUUUCAAUUCACUUAAUUCAGACUAAUAUAAUGAAGUUCUACACUUUCUUCCAUACAAAGCUUCAAACGGUGCCAUUUUAAUGCUAGUUUGAUAACUAUUAUUAUAAGCAAAUUCGGCUAAAGGUAAAUACCUUUCCCAGCUACCGCCGAACUCAAGUAUACAACACCUUAACAUAUCUUCUAAAAUCUGAAUCACUCGCUCUGACUGCCCAUCUGUCUGGGGAUGAAAAGCUGUGUUGAAAUUUAAUUUGGUGCCUAAAGCUUCCUGUAAUUUACUCUAAAAUCUCGAGGUAAAUCUCGGAUCUCGAUCUGAAAUAGUAGAUGUCGGUACCCCAUGUAACCUCACUAUCUCAGACACAUAUAACUCCGCUAACUUUUCAAGCUGAUAAUCUGCUCUGACUGGAAUAAAAUAUGCUGAUUUAGUUAACCGAUCAACAAUCACCCAUAUCGAAUCUUUCUUCUUCGAAGUUACUGGUAAUCCGGAUACAAAAUCCAUCGCAACAUGUUCCUAUUUCCACUCUGGAAUCAUAAUGGGCUGUAACAACCCUGUCGGCACUUGAUGCUCAGCUUUCACCUGUUGACAGAUCAAACAUCUUGCUACAUACUCACAGAUUUCCCAUUUAAUUCCGGGCCACCAAUACAUUUUCUUCAAAUCACAAUACAUUUUUAUACUAACCCGGUGAAUAGAACACAUACUACUGUGAGCCUCUGAUAAAAUAUCAUUUUUCAAGUUUAAAUUAUUCGGAAUACAUAUUCUAUUACGAUAAUAUAACAUACCAUUUUCAUCAAUGGAGUAUUCUGAGCUUAACUUAUCUUGAACCAUCUGUCGUUUUAUCAUCAAUUUUGGGUCAUCAUCCUGUAACUCCUGAAUCCAUUGAAAGAACACGGGUUUAGCCUUUAAUUCUGCUAGUACAGAACCAUCCUCAUUAAUAGAUAAAUGAGCAUUCAAUGCCCGUAGUGCAAAUAAUGAUGAUUUCCGACUAAGUGCAUCUGCUGCGGCAUUUGCUUUCCCUGGGUGAUAGUCAAUGACAAGAUAAUAAUCUUUCUGCAACUCUAACCAUCGUCUCUAUCUCAAAUUUAACUCUUUCUGAGUCAUUAAAUACUUUAAGCUUUUAUGAUCAGUAUACACGUAACAUUUCUCACCAUAUAAGUAGUGUCUCCUUAUCUUCAAAGCAAACACGAUCGCUGCCAAUUCAAAAUCAUGUGUAGGAUAAUUCUUAUCGUGCGGUUUCAGUUGCCGAGAAGCAUAUGCCACCACUUUGCCUGACUGAAUAAGUACACAGCCCAACCCAUUUACAGAUGCAUCACUAUAUACUACAAAUGGUACACCCAAUUCUGGUUGAGUCAACAUUGGAGCCUCUGUCAACAUCUUUUUCAACUGAUCGAAACUCCGCUGACAUUUAUCUGACCAUAUAAAUUCAACAUUCUUUUGUAGCAAUCGAGUCAACUGUAAGGUAAUCAUUGAGAAAUCUUUGAUAAAUCGACAAUAAUAACAUACCAAUCGUAGAAAACUCCACACUUCAAUAACAUUCUUCGGAACUUUCCAAUUUACCAUUGCCGCUACCUUACUUGGAUCCACUCUUAUUCCAUGAGCUGAUACAAUAUGACCCAAAAAUGCAACUUCAUGGAGCCAAAAUUCUCAUUUGCUGAAUUUGGCAUACAAUUGUUUCUCUCGCAAAGUCUGUAAUACAAUCCUUAGAUGUUGUGCAUGUUCGGACUCUGUCUUUGAAUAAAUCAAUAUAUCGUCAAUGAACAACCACAAAUCUAUCCAAUUAUGACUGAAAAAUUCUAUUCAUCAAAUCCAUAAAAGCAGCAAGGGCAUUGGUUAAACCAAAUGGCAUCACCAAAAAUUCAUAAUGACCAUAUCGAGUUUGGAAGGCAGUUUUCGGCACAUCACACUCUUUAACUUUCAACUGAUAAUACCCAGAUUGAAGAUCUAUCUUGGAAAAUAUUGCAGCACCUUUCAACUGAUCAAACAAAUCAUCAAUAUGAGGCAAAGGAUAUUUAUUCUUUACUGUUACCUUAUUCAACUGCCUGUAAUCUAUACACAGUCUUAGAGAACCGUCCUUUUUUUUCACAAACAAGACAGGUGCACCCCAGGGCGACAUACUCGGUCUGAUGAAUCAUUUCUCUAAUAACUCCUGUAACUGCGCCUUCAACUCUUUUAACUCGGCUGGAGCCAUUCUAUACGGUGUCAUUGAGAUAGGAGUUGUUCCGGCGAUCACAUCAAUUACAAAUUCAACUUCUUUAUCAGGUGGUAGACCGGGUAACUCUUCAGGGAACACAUUAGGGAAUUCAUUCACUACUGGCACUUGUUUGAGCUUCAAAUCAGAACCCUGAGUAUCCAUGAUAUAGGCCAAGAAUGCUUCGUUGCCUUUGCGUAAUAACCUCUGAGCAGGGAGAGCUGAAAUAAUUCUGACUGUAUCACCCAUAUUUUCAGACCCAACUGAGAUUAUAUCUCCCGUUUGACAUUUCAAAUUGAUCUGUUUAUCACGACAAUUCACUACCGCAUCAUGUCUCACUAACCAGACCGUCCCAAGAAUAAUGUCAAAUUCUCGAAAAGGUAACAACAUCAAAUCAGCGGGGAAUUCAUAGCCUUUCACUUUUAAUGGACAAUUACGACAUAUCAAAUUAACCAUCACACUUUGACCUAAUGGGUUUGUGACUUGUAUAUCAAAUUCAGUGGACUUAACAGAUAAUUUCUUUUCAGAUGCUAACAUAGUGCAAAUAUAUGAAUGAGUAGAUCCAGGGUCUAUCAAUGCAUAAACAAUAACAUCAUAAAGAUAGAAAGUACCAACAAUUACAUCAGGAGCCGUAGCCUCUUCCCUUGCUCGAAUGGCAUAGGUACGUGCUGGUGCUCUAUUCUUUGAUCGACCAACUGAUUCCCUCGUACCCGAACGGGUAGUCCCUGUAGCACUGCUCUGGCCCGAAUGUCUACUUCUUUGGGGAAUGGUUCUCUGUAUCUCUUUCUGUUCCACUUCAUCUUUUUACAGUCGGGGACAAUCUCGAAUAAGAUGAUUAGUAGCCCCACAUUUUUAACAAGCCCCCAUCUUGGUCCUGCAUUCUCCGAAAUGAUAUCUUCCACAAUAUUGACACUUAGGCCGGGGAGCAUUCUGAACACCGCUCACACUUGCUGCAGGUCUAUCGAAUACCCUGAAAUCAGAUUGUCUUGGUCUAUCUCUACCCGAUCUUCCCAACAUUAAUGUAGUUCGACUAAUUUCUUCUCUAGAUUUCUUCACUGGCAAAUCUAAAAAUGACUUAGAAGCACCUCUUUUGAAUGGCUCUUUACUUUUUCGAUCCCGCUGCAUUUUUCUAUUGUAUACUUCUUCGAGCUUUUGAGCACGGUCUGACAGAACAACGAACUCUCGUAUUUCAUUACCCCCAAUCAUCAUUCUAAUUUCAUCAUUUAACCCUUCUUCAAACCUGAUACACAUUUCUUCUUUAGUAGGUACAAUGUCUCGGGCAUAUUUGCUGAGGUAAACAAAUUCACUUUCGUAUUCAGCCACUGAUUUAUUUCCCUGGCGUAGGUCGAGAAAUUCCCUUUUAUUUUUAUCCAAAUACCGUCUGCCCACAUAUUUCUUCUUAAAUUCAUUUUGGAAAAAUUCCCAAUAAAUUUUCUCUGCUGGAACCACAGCCUCAAUCGUCUCCCACCAACUAUAAGCUUGCUUCUUUCAAUAGGGACACAGCACAUCUCAAAUAAUCAUCUGGUGAGCAAGCCAUUUCUUUAAAAAUUCUUAUUAAACUCUGUAACCAAUAUUCAGCUUUGACGGGAUCUUCAUCAGUCCUUCCUGAAAUUCUUCGGCUCCAAGUUUUUUAAGCUUUUCCAAUAGAGAACGCUUACUAGAUUCAGUCGUUGUAGGAGGUGGAGGAGUAACCGGGGGUACCAUCGAUGGAGCAGUAGGGGGAGGAGGUGGUUCAGCCUGAUUUCUUUCCUGCCUCAUUUCAAUAUACCACUGAUUCAUAAUCUCAUAAAUCAUAUUCUUUAAUUCUUGCUCUUGCAUUUGGGAGAUCGGAACAUCACUGCUUGUUCUUUGUUCAGAAUUAUGUAUUCUACUAUUAACUUCUUCUUACUUAGUUCGUUCAGGUAUAUCUGACAUCUUUAUAACUGGAGAAUAUAUAUGAAAAUAACAAAGAUUAGAUCGGAUCAUACGCAUCACACUAUCACAGAUUUAUAUGGCAUGUAUUUCUAAACACUUUACACUUCACACAUAUUCCGAGAACCGGCUAAACCGGGAUCUGAUACCAAUAAAAUAUAACACCCUUUACCCAAGACCGUUGCCCGAGUCGAGCAUGAGGCGUUACUUGACUUAACUUAAAAGUUCAGGGCAUAAAAAUUUACUUUCAAAAUUAAUUUCACCAUUCACAAUAAAGCUGUCCACCUGCGCAGGAGUCACUAAAUCAAUUAUAACUCAAGCUACGAAACUCAAAAUUUAGAUCCGUAAAUUUUCCCUAAAACUAGACUCAUAUAAAUAUUCACCAUAAAUUUUUAAGAAUUUUUGGUUUAUCCAAUUAGUAUAGUUUAUUAGUUUAAGUCUCCCUUGUUUCACUAAUAGACUACCCUGACCUCUCGUCACUAAAAUUCAAUUAUCUCCUUAUACAGACUUGACAUGGUGCUUCCAAUUAUUUUUACUUAAAAUAUACUCAUUAAGGAAUUUAAAAAUAUAAUUUAUAACUCAUAAUUACUUUUUUACAAUUUUUAUUGAAUUUCUAAAGUCAGAACAGAGGACUUCAAAAUCAUUCUGACCCUGUCUCACUAAAAUUCAAAUAUCUAAAAGUAUAUAACUCUUUUGCUUACUCUAUUGCUUUCAUGUGAAAGUAUACUCAUUCAGAUUUAAUUUCAUAUCUCACUUAACUUAUAAUUCUAUUUCCACUAUUUUUGGUGAUUUUUCACAGUUACAUCAAUGCUGCUGUCCAAAAACUGGUCCAUUGAAAUUUUUUAAAAAAAUUCAAUAUAACCCCUUUAUAAUUAUCUAACCUUCCCUGCAAAUUUCAAAUCACAACCAAUUUCAGUAUUUCACCUACUUCACUUAAAUACUAAUGAAGUUCAACCAAUCAACCAUUUCAAACUAAAAACAUGUAUAGUUCAAUGUCUAACACAACCAUCACAUUCAAAUUUACUUUGCAUACUUAGUCAUUCAUUCUAUUACUUUUUACUUCAAUUCCCUAUACAUGCCAUAUAAAUCCAAAAAGUUGUUUAACAAAAUCUACCAGAGUAAAUCUAGAUAGUGUGAUUCUUGGUGUAGAUCCGAUCCUCUGAAUGUAUAAAUACGUCAAUCUACAAGAAUCAAUAAACACACAAUUAAGCUUAUAGAAAGCUUAGUAAGUUCAUAAGCACCAAACAUAAAUCUUACCAAACAUUUAUACACUUAUACAUUAUACACCAUUACUAAGUUUACCUGUCAACCACAAUCUUUGGUGAGUUCCUUGUUAUAAACUCACUACUACUUAUUCUUUUACCAUAAUUCCUUUGGGCCCAUUUGUCACUUACCAUCCUUGAUCAAAAUUAAGGAACGGUUACGGAAAAUUGAGUACUUCACUUUCACUUUGCCAUAGUAUAACUAUGGUCUUACGUAUGAUCACUUAUCACUUGUCCUUGAUAAGAUAAGUGUAGCUAGGCUACCACUUAUCACUUUGUCACUUGAUCAGAUAAGUGUAGCUAAAGCUACCACUUAUCACUUUAUCACCACUUAUCACUUGUUCCUGAUCAGAUAAGUGUAGCUAAAACUACCACUUAUCACUUUGUCACCACUUAUCACUUGUUCCUGAUCAGAUAAGUGUAGCUAAAGCUACCACUUAUCACUUUGUCACUUGAUCAGAUAAGUGUAGCUAAGCUAUCACUUAUCACUUUGUCACUUGAUCAGAAGUACUCUAAUCCGGUGUUCCGCUCAAUUUGAUCAUUUAUUCAGUUUUCACAUUUUUAUUUUAUUCUCAUUUCAUCAAUAAAUAUAUAUAUUUCAUCAUACAUUAUAUAAUUCAUGAAAUUAACAUUUAAUCAUUAAAUUUCAGCCAUAUGAACUUACCUGGGUCGAUUUAUUGAAUUUGUAAAAGUUCAGGGACUAAUCAGCUACUUUUUCUUUUCCUCGACUUGUUUCGGGUUCUCAAUAUGAUUCAAAUAUAUGAAAAACCAGCUUGGAUGGACUCUUCAAUGGCGUUUUUUGCUGAGAAAUAUGAUGAAUUGCCUAGAAACUCUUUUAGUUAAGAUUUUUAUUUGUUAACUUUUACAAAAUUUCCAAUUUUGCCCUUAUUACAUCACUUUUUCAGAUUUUUCUUCUCUUAUGCCGUCUCAACUAUUCCAUAUUAGCAUAUUUAUGCCUUAAGUCCCUCCUUAUUUGCCACUUAAGCUGUUUAAUCACUUUUAACAAAUUUUACAUUAUUUUCAGUUUAGUCCUUUUUAAUUAAUUAACCACCCAAACGUUAGAAUUUUCUAACGAAACUUUAAUAUCAAUUCAAUGGCACUCUAUAAAUGUUUCUAAAAAUAUUUAUGGCUUGAUUGAUGAGUUUGAGGUUUCGAUACCUCAUUUUUUAUUCUAAUUAUUUUAAUAUUUAUUCUUAGUACACUAUUCACUAUUUCAAAAAUUUUCCUAACUUCGCAUUUAACUUAUACUCACUAAAUUAAUAAUAUUUUCUACUCAUUUGUCAGAUUUAGUGAUCUAGAAUUACCAUUCCGACACCACUGAAAAUUCAGGCCAUUACAUUAUGUUUAUUGACUCAUUUUUUCUGUUGACUGAAUUUCAGGUAACUCAUCGACUUAGGCGGGUCGGCAUGGCGAGAGCUCGGUCAUCCUUAUUUAGUAAUUUUCUGUUUAAAUUAAACUUAUGCUAUAGUUGUUUUAUCUUGAAUUACAGAUUUCAAAUUUAUAUUUCUACACUAGUUCAACUAUUUAAACAUUUUCUGACAAUUAAACUUUAAUUAGUUAAAAGUGAGAAUUUCUUAAAUGAUUUGUUGUAGCUUUCCAAGCUUGGUCCUAACAUCUAGGUCGGGUUUGGGGUGUUACAACCCAAAACCCCCAAACUUUCCCCUCAAAACUUUUACUCCCCCACCCUUUCUCUUUCUCGCUCACCCUCCCAAACCCUUCUACUUUUCCCCCAAAACUUUUACUUCCCACUUUUACCCCCAAAUCAAAAAUCAAAAUCCUCCCAAAAAAAUCCUUAAACCUAAAUAGUAAUAAUUUUAUUUAUGGCUACUAUUUAUAUUAUAAAUUAAAUUUCACAUUUUCUAUUAUUUAUAUUAUUAAAUUGUUUAAUCAUUUUGAAUCUUUAUCAAUUUCUGUUAAAACUGUAUCAUUGAUGAUGUCAUACAUUAUUUGUGUUAAAAAUUUCUAUUGGUAUCAAUUUCACAUUUUAUCUUUAAAAUAAAUUUUAUUAAAAAAAUUACUUUUUUACAUUUAAUAUAUUUUUUAAUUUCAAAAUAUAUGGUGACAAGAAUUAGAAGAUAAUUGAAGCAACUAAGCAAGUAAAAAAGCUAACAUGUAUAUAAAAGAUUAAAUAAAUUAUGAAGGGAUGAAAGUUAAUAACACAUUUGAUUACGGUGGACAAAUUUGAUAAUGAUGGGUGACAGUGGCUACAAGGAUCCAAAGUAAUUUUUUCAAUUAACUGGAAACAAAUAUAUUCGAUUCGAUUCGAUAAAAUUUGAAAUCAUUUUAGGAUGAUAAAAUAAGACUCGUCAACUCGAUUAACUCGAAGUUUUUUCAUUUGAUUCGAUUAGACGCUCACCCCUACAAAGUAUGACCGAUUGGUCUGAUUCUGAAAAAAAUUGGUUUUGAUCAAUGAAAGAACUUUUACGAUGGCGACAGGUCUAACAAACAGGUGAUAUUUUGAAAAGAAAAUUAAUCUCCAUAGUCUCAACCUUAGGAGGGUGAAUUUUGAGCAUUGCAUUUGUUGUCAUUGUUAGACAUUAUAAAGGAAGAAAAAAGAAAGAAAAAAGUUAAAAUGAGGGAAAUUAUUGAAAAAAAGAGAGAAGAGAAUAAUUAAUUUUUUUAAAAUUUUACAUGUCAAUCUAUUAUUGAUUAGAUUUUUUUAAUGAGUGUAACAUUUUGGUGUUAAAUGGAUAAUAAAAAAAUAUUUUAAGUAUCAUUUAUGAUAAAAAAUAUUUAGGUAUCAAUUUGAAAAAAAUAUGUAGCUUAGAUACUAAUUGAUGGGUUAAUUUUUUUAGCUUAAUAAUUUGAUUAAACCGAAAUACCAACUGAAAAAAAGUUUACUCGCCGCUUAUGAAAAAAAAUAAGUAUGAAUUUGUAAGUUAAAUCUCCCUAAAAGAAAAAAUAUAUCACAUUCAAUACGGGGUGAAUGAAGCAAUGAAUGCAAUGGGGUAUUACAACCAGCCACAUGUCAUUCAAUUCAUGUUAUAUCUACCUUGUUGGCCCCACAGGCGGUCUUUUCCAUUAUUUUCGAAGUGAACGACAUGAGUCGGACCUAUAUCGGCCCCAACAAACAACCUCAACCACUUGUUUUGUUAGGUUGUUGACUAAUUUGAAUAUGUCGGCUCAAAGCUUUUUGAAAAUUAAAUUAUUUUUUAUAUUAAUAUCAUAUAGGUAUAAAAAUUUAACGUUUUGUAAAAAAAAUAAAUUUAGUGUUAAAUUUAAAUAAUUAUAAAAAAUUAUACAAAAUACAAAGACAACUUAGAGUCAAUAAAAAAAAUAUGGAAAAUCAAUUCAUACAUUAAAUGGCAUAAAAAUAUUAUGAACACUAUACAAAUAUAUGAAUGUUUUUAUAUCUAUUUAAAAUAAGUUAUUAACGCUUAAACUUCAACCAAUUAAAUAUUAAUUUAACUAUAAACUAUAAAAAAUUAAAAUUUCAUUUGCCCUAAACAAUUAUUCUAAUUUCGCCCCUGUAUAAAAUAGUUCUAAUAUUAAAAAAAAAGUUAUACGAAUAUGGAGUGUUAAAAAAAAAGGCUUUCAACUUUUAAUAUUCCAAACAAAUAAAAGAAAUAAUAAUAACAGUUUACAAGUGCAAUAAAAGUAAUACAUAUUUGAUGAAUUAAAAAUAGAAUAAAUAUAACUAACUAUAACAGAAAUAUAUUUAGAUUUAAACCAAAUUUUUUUGAAGAUGAAAUUUGAACUCACAAAUAAUAUUUAUAAAUGAUGAGCCUAAUGAUGAUAUGUUUUAGAACAUGUAUAUUUUAAUUUCAUUUGAUAUUUAAAUUAAUGAAUGAAAUGAGUAUAUUAGCAUAAAUAUAUUGAAUUUCUAGAUUUAUUAAAAAUCCAACUAAAUAGAGUAGAUCCAUAAAUUUAAAAAAUGAUUAUGGAUUUUGAAAUAUAAAUCUAAAAUUUAAAAUCUGAAACCCUCCUAAAUGUUUUCCAAAGUAAGGCGGGGAUAAAUGGUAUAGGGAAGACGGUGGGUAGAUAGAUGUACGGUUUAUUUAUAACUUCGUUUUUAUUAGUCGGCUUACAGUUUCAUAAAAAGCAUCCGUGCAAGGCAUGUUCAAAUGCUGCACUAGCAUACCACUACUAUAAAAAAAACACAUACAAGAGCACCACAAAUUUAUCCCAAAAUACAUUAAAUAAAUGACUCCUAAGGGUGCCAGAUUUAACUAGUGUGUCUGGGAUUGUAUUAGCCUCUCUGAGGCCAUGUGAAAAAAUUUAAUGUUAUUGUUAUAUUUCCAUCUCGAUACGUUGCAAGACAUGAAGCAAUCUGUAAACAACUCUCUUUUGGAAGCAGUUUGCAUACGACUCUUCGCUAAGAACCAUUUGUUGUGAUCUUUCGCUUAGGAUUGCUCACAAAUGACCCCCAUGCACCCUAUCUCUCUCCCUCCUUAACUCAUCAUCUUGAACUCUCAUCCUAUCAUAGGUGAAUCGAGACUCUUCUCCUCCACCCUUUCCUCGUUGGUUACUUGUAGCAAAAAAAAUUAAUUUCACCGAAAAUGUUGGAGAGAUCCCAUGGUCUAAGUGUGUUGUUAGAGCAAAGCUCGAUGGCAAAUUUGGAGUCAAAUUUUAGAAUAAACCCUUUAAAAUCCAUUACACCGUAAAGGAAAAUUUUUACAAUUACAUUAACAAUAAAUAUUCAAAAUUUACUCAUCUAUCUAUACUUAUAUUAAGCCUUAUUUGAGUUGGAGUCAAGAGUCAACUAGGUACUAACUCAGUUGAGAAUUUACUAAAUAAUUUUAAUAUAAAGUAAAAAAAAUAUUAAUACGAGGGUGUUUUUAUCUUUUCAUAUUUUUAAAUAAAAAAAUACUAUAAUAAGAUUUAAACUUAAGUUUAAAAUUUCAAUCAAAACAUCACUUAAAUUUAAAAUAACAUUUUUAUAUAAAAUGUGUUUAGAUUCUAAGAUAAUGAAAUUUAUGAUGAGGUAUUCAAAAUGUGUUUGAAUAUGCUAAUGAGAUAUUCAAAUUGGUAUGCACAUUCCUAAUCAGGGAGCAUUAAUGAUAAUUUAGUAAAAUAAAUUAUCUCAUUAGCAUAUAGUUUAUUAUAAAAUUAUUGUGUAAAAUAAACAAUUCACAAACUUAAGAAUUUAUAACACAAAAAUUAUACAUCAAUGUUGUUAGAAUUGUAUUAUAUCCAUCGGUUGAAUUUAAAUUUAAAAAUUUAAUCAGCGAUAAUAAUUAAAAUCGUUUCAAACUAGUAAAAUAUUGAAAAUUAAGAACUAAUAAAAUAGAUUCUAAUUAUUUUUAUUUAAAAAAUGUUACCUUCUUAUUCAGGUUACAUUAAGACAAACCCAUCUUAAUUGUAAGUAUCAUAUUGUGAAUGGUAAACUUCUUACACAACAUCCACCAUUUGUCCAAAUAUGUUAAAUUAGGUGCAACAUAGAAAUUUUAUUGUAAGGAGUGAAUCUCAUUGUUUUUAUUUUCAUCAAACAUACGUCUAACUUUAUUAUUACGGGAUUAGAACUUAAAUUUGAUAAAUUGUGGUGAUUUCUUUUCGUUAAAUUUACCUAAAUCAACCUAACACUCGAAAAGUGAGAAUUCUCCUAAAAAUUCUUUAUGUUAGCAAAAAAUAUAGUGGAAGUAACUUGAAACGAAAGAGCAAUGAGAGAAUUGAAAAGACACAAGAAAAUAAUGCAUACAAGGUGUUUGAGUAAAUGCUCUCAAUAAAUUCUUUAACUCAAGAAGGAAUGAAGUACAACCAGUAUCUAGCCCCCCUAAAAUAGAAAAUUUUCCAUUUAUAUACCUUUAUAAUUUAUAAAAUUUAAAAUUUUACUUUCCCAUAAAAUGAUAAAAAAUUGAUUUAUUUCUUUAAAAAUUAUAAAGAUGACUAUUAAAAUAGUAAAAUUGUAUUUUUAUUAUUGUAAAAAUAUACAAUUUAAUUCUGUCUCCCAAAUUUUUUUUUUGGUUUCAUCCCUAAGUACAAUGAUCAUUGUAGCAGGAUACACAGGCAUUGUAGCAGGAUACAUAGGCAUUCUAGCACAGAAUGCAAAUAUGUUGCAAAUUAACUUCGAGUCAUGGCAUAAAGUGCCCGAGAGUAACAAGAACCAAGCUCUCGAUAACAUUAAGGUAACAAAAUGUGUAUAUCAUUUAUAAUACUUGAGUUUAAGUUUCGUUUACAUUUACUUUCUGAAGUUGUGUUUUUUGUAGGGGAGAUUUGCUCUAGAGGUCUCCGAUGCUUAUGUAAAGAAGGCAUUGGGAAAAAGAUGGAGAGACCAUAAGAGCACUUUAAAGAAAGACUAUUUUAAGACAAAAACAACACUCGACGAGAGAUUACAAAAUGUCACGCCGGGAAUGCUGAGGUACCAGUGGGAAGAAGUCGUUAGAUUUUGGACUUCGAAGAAAGGAGAGGUAUGUGUUACUACAAAAAUCUUGUAAUUAUUUUGGUUUAUAGUAUUUACUAAUUAACGUACUAAUAAUUUCAUAACGUAGGAUCGUGAACGAGUUGGAACAAGUAGUAGGCAGAAACAAAAAUUCACGCACACAGCUGGGUCGAGAAGUUUUGCGUGUGUAGCUCAGGCCGAGGUAUUUUGAAUUUUUUAAUACUGGCAGAUAUUUAUUACUUUCUAUCAAAUAAUAUUUUUACUAUUGUAUUGUAGGAAGUGUUGUCGGGUCAAAAAGUUGGACGCCUUCAACUUUUUGACAUUACACAUAGGAAGAAAGAUGGAAACCCUAUGACUCCUGAAGCUGCAGAAAUUAUGGUACGUUUGCUUAAUACAAUUUGACUUGUUUUAAUUAUUUAUACUGUUUAUUUUCUAAUGGUUUUUAUUACAUUUCUUAUAAUGCAAAUAUUGUUAAGUUAUGUUGCAUUUGUUUUGUUAAUAUAUGUUGCGUUCUUAACUAUGUGAUUUAUUUUUUAGGAAAAACUGAAGGAUAAAAAGGCGAAGUACGAAGCGAUUGCUUCCAGUGAUAGUUCUGUUCAUAUUUACGACAUUGAUAAUCGGAUUAUCAUUGAAGUUUUGGGUCCUGAAAGGUAUGAUCGGGUUCGAUUUCAAGGAUCUUUUGUUAACCCAUCCCAAUAUUUUGGAUCCAGCUCGCAACAAUACAUGCAUUCGGGGAGUCAGGCUCAAGCUGAAGUUAGAGGUUAAGAGACCAGAUAGCUUAGAUGCAAGCGGCAACGAGUGAGCAAAUUACACAACUUAAAGCGGAGGCAACAUCGAGAGAAGCCAAGGUUCAAAAAAGAUAUGAAGAACUCCAGCUACAACUUAAAGCAGAUGCGGCAGCGAGAGAAGCAGAGGCAGCAGCGAGAGAAGCUGAGGUUCAACGAAAGUAUGAGCAACUGCAGUAGCAGCUUAAAGAAGAUGCGGCAACGAGAGAAGCAGCGGCUGCAGCGAGGGAAGUAGAGGCUGCAGCGAGGGAAUCAGAACAGCAUAAAAAGUUCGAUGAACUCCAGCAGCAGCUUCAGAAUAUGAUGAAGAUGUUUCAGCAGUCGCAACCGCCGUCAUCUUAGACUAUCGUUUAAAUAUACUUCAAUUUUGACUUUGGUAUUAUUAUUUUAACUUUUACAAUUUCUGUCAGAAUAAUACGAAUUUUAUUUUAUUUAUUGACAUUUAUUUUAAAUAUUAUAUAGAUUUGGUUAGAUUUGGUUGGUUGGAUUUGGUUUCUUCUGAUUUGUUUUUAUAGGAGGGGGGCUGAAAAUUUUUUUUUCAAAUCUGCCAAAAUUAGCGGCGUUUUUUUGGAUAAGCGCCGCUAAAGACCAUCGUCUAUAGUGGCGUUUUUUGGCUAAGCGCCGCUAAAGACCAUGGUCUAUAGUGGCGUUUUUCGGCUAAGCACCGCUAAAGACCAUGGUCUAUAGUGGCGUUUUUUGUCUAAGCGCCGCUAAAGACCAUGGUGUAUAGUGGCAUUUUAUGGCUAAGCGCCGCUAAAGACCAUGGUGUAUAGUGGCGUUUUUUGGCUAAGCGCCGCUAAAGACCAUGGUCUAUAGUGGCGUUUUUUGUCUAAGCCCCGCUGAAAACCAUGGUCUAUAGUGGCGUUUUUUGGCUAAGCGUCGCUAAAGACCAUGGUCUAUAGUGGCGUUUUGUGGCUAAGCGCCGCUAAAGACCAUGAUCUAUAGUGGCAUUUUUCGGCUAAGCGCCGCUAAAGACCAUGGUCUAUAGUGGCGUUUUUUAGGCUAAGCGCUGCUAAAGACCAUGGUCUAUAGCGGCGUUGCAAAGAAAACGCCGCGAAAGGUCUUGAUCUUUAGCGGCGUUUAUUAUAAAAAGCGCCGCUAAAGUUACCGACACUGUCAUUAGCGGCGAUCUUUGCGGCGCUUCGUAAAGCGCCGCUAAAAGUAUUUGCGGCGCUAAAAAACGCCGCUAUAGACCUAAAAAAGCGCCGCUAAAACCCUGUUUUGGUGUAGUGUGAGAUGAUUACAAAUGAAGGGGGAGAUCUCUAUUUAUAGUUGAGCUCCCCUAGAUCCAAUAGUAUAGAUUGAAUUACAUCAACGAUUGAGAUUAGUACUUAUCUACAAGAUGAGUCUUAAGGGUUUUAAACUCUAUACAUCUUUAUCCCUUAGGAUUUACAUUAAUUACUCUGGUAACUCUAGUUUUACUGGAGAGUUUCACUGAACCACCAAAGGUUUAAGUAGAUGAGCUUCUCCAUAUGUUCCACGAGUUGGACAAGUUCAAGCGGAUCAAAUGAGCCCAAUUUAAUUAGUUAAUCUCAAUAAAACGUUCUAUGCGCAAUGAUCAUGAACUUUGAUCUACAUCUCAAAAUGAUCAGAUGAAUAAUCUCUCUUAAUUAUAUUUUUAUAAAACUUGAUAUUUUCAUUUAAAAAGAAACACAAUCACAUAUAAUAAUGUCUCCAAAAGAGUCGUCCACUUCAAAGAUUUAAAGUAAUGUAAGAAUGAACCCAACAUUUUUCAAUUAAAAAUAUGUCGAUAGAUAUAGCAAGUUGUAUAACCUUUCAAUUACAAAACAGAUUUCAAUGGGGAUUGCAUCCGGUACAUGCAACUAAAGAACAGAACCGGUGCAUAAAUUGAUUUAAUUAAACUUUGGGUUGAGUAAUCAUGAUUUUCAUUAUUAUUAGACUACGUGAAUGUUGAUAUAAAAUGCUUGAGAGAAGGGUAUAGAAGAAACACAAAAUAAUGAGUGAUAUUAAUUUGUAGAUAAAGAUAAUAUUACAUAGUCGCAAAAAGCGACCUAGUACACAACGCACAACUCUAAAUUAGGAUAACUCCUCUGCUAUCCCUAUGGAUGGAUUUUAACAUCCAUAUUUAUUCUGUAGCUAUCGUUAUUUUGGCUUCCACUAGCUGGUGAACUUUCCAUGCCAAAACUUCACUUAACCCUGC